AAUUAAAUUCGUAGGGUACAGAGGUAAGAUGUUCUAUCUUUCAGCACUAAUGCGCUUAACAGCUUACUUAGUGGCCAGAAAGAAAGGCUUAUUUAGCCGCCCCACUGCUUGCAGUGGGGCGUUUUUUU
rnacentral:other from 1 species